AGUUCAGCACUCCACGCAGAUGGCUACCGCUCCCUCCUGAGCGCUCGCUCCUCUCGCUCCUCUCCCCUCACCCGCCGCCUUCCCUGCUGGGUCCCUCUCCCCGGUCUCCACCUCUCCUCCCUCUCCUGGAAGGGAAAAGUCUGCCAAGCUGGGGACUGCCACGACCAAACCAACAAAGGCCGACCGAAGGCGGAGAACUUGAAAAGAACUUGUUUUGUUCCAAUAUUCCAAUGGAGACAGUUGGAAAACCUGUACUUCAGAGAAAAGAAGUUUUCCGUGGAAGUUCAUGACCCACGCAGGGCUUCAGUGACAAGGAGGACGUUUGGGCACAGCGGCAUUGCAGUGCACACGUGGUAUGCAUGUCCGGCAUUGAUCAAGUCCAUCUGGGCUAUGGCCAUAAGCCAACACCAGUUCUAUCUGGACAGAAAGCAGAGUAAGUCCAAAAUCCAUGCAGCACGCAGCCUGAGUGAGAUCGCCAUCGACCUGACCGAGACG
rnacentral:lncRNA from 1 species